GGAGGAAAGUAGGGGAUCGCAAGACCUUGCGCUUUUGGAGCGGCCGAUGUCUGAUUAGCUAGUUGGUGAGGUAAAGGCUUACCAAGGCGUCGAUCAGUAGCUGGUCUGAGAGGACGACCAGCCACACUGGGACUGAGACACGGCCCAGACUCCUACGGGAGGCAGCAGUGGGGAAUUUUGGACAAUGGGCGAAAGCCUGAUCCAGCCAUGCCGCGUGAGUGAAGAAGGCCUUCGGGUUGUAAAGCUCUUUUAGUCGGAAAGAAAGAGUUGCAAUGAAUAAUUGUGAUUUAUGACGGUACCGACAGAAAAAGCACCGGCUAACUACGUGCCAGCAGCCGCGGUAAUACGUAGGGUGCGAGCGUUAAUCGGAAUUACUGGGCGUAAAGGGUGCGCAGGCGGUUUUGUAAGUCAGAUGUGAAAUCCCCGGGCUUAACCUGGGAAUUGCGUUUGAAACUACAAGGCUAG
rnacentral:rRNA from 1 species